rnacentral:lncRNA from 1 species
ACAAUCUUUAUUAUUUAAAAACAACAGUGACAACAAAGCUUCCUAUUGUUGCUUUUCAACAAAAACAAAGUGAAAAGAGAUGGAGGUGAAAAAGAAAAAAGAGGAAAUGCUUGUUGGAGCUGUUGCUGAAGAUGCCAUGAGACUUCCCAGUGAUCUUCAGAUCAGGUUAACAGCCAAUAGGAUGGACACCCCAGUCUCAUCUUAGGUAAACCUUGAGAGUUUUAGAGUCUCUGUGGAUGGGUAGCAGGAAGGUCCCAUACAAUGCUUUGAAACACAGCUCAGUAGCAUCACAUACUAUGAAAUGCAG